GUUGAUUUUUAUCACGACUACAAUGAAGCUUUUUGCACUUUAAAGUAUUUGAGUGUCGUUUUUCUUCAAGACCUGUGAGUGCACCCCUAUUUGUCUAUAUAUAUAUAUCUAACGCGGGUUGCACCGAGGCAUAACAUUUUUGAUAUAUUGCAGUUUUGGAAGUAAGGAGAGUGCCAAGCAGUUCGUGUUUUUGUUUUAUAUAUAUAUAUA